UACGUAGGGUGCGAGCGUUGUCCGGAAUUAUUGGGCGUAAAGAGCUCGUAGGCGGUUUGUCGCGUCUGCCGUGAAAGUCCGGGGCUCAACUCCGGAUCUGCGGUGGGUACGGGCAGACUAGAGUGAUGUAGGGGAGACUGGAAUUCCUGGUGUAGCGGUGAAAUGCGCAGAUAUCAGGAGGAACACCGAUGGCGAAGGCAGAUCUCUGGGCAUUAACUGACGCUGAGGAGCGAAAGCAUGGGGAGCGAACAGG
rnacentral:rRNA from 1 species